rnacentral:rRNA from 1 species
UACAGAGGGUGCGAGCGUUAAUCGGAAUUACUGGGCGUAAAGCGUGCGUAGACGGUUAUUUAAGUCGGAUGUGAAAGCCCCGGGCUCAACCUGGGAAUUGCAUUCGAGACUGAAUAGCUAGGGUGCGGUAGAGGGAAGCGGAAUUUCCGGUGUAGCGGUGAAAUGCGUAGAUAAUCGGAAGGAACAUCAGUGGCGAAAGCGG